rnacentral:rRNA from 1 species
AUGAUAGCUUGCUAUCAGGCGUCGAGCGGCGGACGGGUGAGUAAUACUUAGGAAUCUACCUAGUAGUGGGGGAUAGCUCGGGGAAACUCGAAUUAAUACCGCAUACGUCCUACGGGAGAAAGGGGGCAACUUGUUGCUCUCGCUAUUAGAUGAGCCUAAGUCGGAUUAGCUAGAUGGUGGGGUAAAGGCCUACCAUGGCGACGAUCUGUAGCUGGUCUGAGAGGAUGAUCAGCCACACCGGGACUGAGACACGGCCCGGACUCCUACGGGAGGCAGCAGUGGGGAAUAUUGGACAAUGGGGGAAACCCUGAUCCAGCCAUGCCGCGUGUGUGAAGAAGGCCUUUUGGUUGUAAAGCACUUUAAGCAGUGAAGAAGACCUAACGGUUAAUACCCGUUAGCGAUGACAUUAGCUGCAGAAUAAGCACCGGCUAACUCUGUGCCAGCAGCCGCGGUAAUACAGAGGGUGCAAGCGUUAAUCGGAAUUACUGGGCGUAAAGCGAGCGUAGGUGGCUUGAUAAGUCAGAUGUGAAAUCCCCGGGCUUAACCUGGGAACUGCAUCUGAAACUGUUAGGCUAGAGUAGGUGAGAGGGAAGUAGAAUUUCAGGUGUAGCGGUGAAAUGCGUAGAGAUCUGAAGGAAUACCGAUGGCGAAGGCAGCUUCCUGGCAUCAUACUGACACUGAGGCUCGAAAGCGUGGGUAGCAAACAGGAUUAGAUACCCUGGUAGUCCACGCCGUAAACGAUGUCUACUAGUCGUUGGGU